UGGACAUCGUGGUCUCUUACAAUUGAACAAAGUUUGAGAUGCUUGAACGUCUGCUCAGAGGCGCACGGGUAGUUGCUCCGAUGACCCGAUCUUCUUCACAGAACGACGCCAGCAAGACUUGUCAGUCUACUAUCAAAACGCAGGUAUUCCUUCGACCUGAACGUCUGGACGUUACCUGAAGACAUCAACUACACCCAUAAAGCGAUUUGAUACUUACAGAACUUAAAUAUUUUUAGUUCCACCUUUUUUAGCGAGGAGGGGCGACGCCUCUAUCCAUAACAGUGACAGUAUAUAAAAGAUAUGUCAUUAUUACAGUGCGCUAAAUUCAAUAAACCCCGUAAAACGAAAGCGUACUUCAAGUAGUAUUUUAUAAAACAGAAAUUACAAGUUCAUCGACCACUGUCACGAAUUUGGUAUCUCUGCAGCUUUUCAGCUUUUCAUCAAAAUAAUUAGCAGUACAAAGACUAAGCAGGGGCGUAUUACCAAUUUGUCACUACAGUGCAAUAGAGUAGCAAUUUAUUACUCCGAACAGUAACAUACAGCACACACAUUCAGCCACACUUCCGCAAUAGAGAAAACAAACAUUCCACAACAAAUCCUUGGAACAAAGACGCACUACAGAAAGCUGGGUCUGACGGCUUAUUGCUAUCACUGAACGAAAAAGAAAACGUUUAAUAAAACAAUAGCGUGGUUUCGCAGUUUUGACAACUAAACUGCACUGUCUCGAAAGAUAACAAGCAUAAGCAAUCCUGGGAUUUAUUCAUACCUCAGUAUAUUUUGAAUGUGACCCAAACAUAAGA